UACAGAGCUGUCAAUGCUGCAAGUUUGUUGUGAAAUUCACAAUCCAUGUCCAAAAGUGCUUGUUUUACUAUACAGCAAAGAAGGAGAAAUUGUACUGGGCCGACACCUAUAUGGCAAAUUCAGAAUGUGGAAUAUCUCAGCCACUAUAGGGUUUACAGUCAUGAAACUUCACACACUAGUAGCUGAUAACAAUACAAAUCAGUGGCUAAAAGGAUAUUUCCAAGGCGAUGAAUUCCAUACGUCAGUAGGAAUUUAGAAUCAUACAACCAGUCAGCAGCUACCCAUAAACCAGACCAACCUAUUAAGUCGAGUGGGCAGAAGCUGUGAUUCCCAGUGUAACACCGCAGAAAGACGGCUAGUUUUCGGAUUACAUUUCUGUGCGGAAGGAUUAAA
rnacentral:lncRNA from 1 species